CCAGAUCUCAAGAUGAUCUUAUAACUACAUCUGAAAGGCUGUUGAGCCCCCAUCCUCAUCAGAGUUCAUCUCUUCCAAUGCAUGCACAUGUGCAGUCCAUCUGCCAGGCAUGAAGUAAAUAUAAAAUUGACCUUCUUCAGAAAAGAAGGAAGACCCAGGUGCUGGAAAAGGUCAGAGAAAAUCAUCAUCAUAAAGUGAAGUGAUUUUCUUCUUUAUGAGCUCCUGAUGUAAACAGACUGAUGAGCACAACACAAUCCUUACUCACCCACAUGACAUCAUACACAAUCACAGCUAAAUGUUUCUAUC
rnacentral:lncRNA from 1 species